GCCUGGGCAGGGCCAGAGUGGGUGUGAGCAGCAAACUGAUCCUGGUGAAGGAAGGAAGCUGGGAGUCUGGAACCAUGGCAAUCCCAGCACAGAGGGAACAAUCGCUUCAGCUGCCCACUGGAAUGAACCAUGCGCUUCUUCUGCCGAGACCUCAACAGACACACUAGGGAGCAGCCGACCCACAGGCCACCAAGCCAGGGAGGGCGGGAGGAGCGGAGCCAGGGAGGGUACUGCAUGGAGAACAUUCCAGGAGCCCAAACCAUUCCAAGUGGCUGCUGGCCGCCGAGAGUCACGGAACACAGAGAGACUCCUCAGCCGGGGGCCUACCAGCUCUUCACCCACAUUCUCAAGUACUCUGCCUCACUGGAAAGAAGACACUCUGGCUGAAGGCAAGAGGCCAGCAUGGCCCACCAUAAGAAGAUGAAGACAUGCGGUGGGGAGAAGGCUUCUGUGGUGUAGCCACCUGCCUAACAUGUGCAAAGCCCUGGGUUCAAUCCAGCCCACAAUACACACAUGCAUGCAUAUACAUACAUACAUACAUACAUACAUACAUACAUACAUACAUACAUACAUACAUACAAUACUAAAAACGUGGGUGGUAGAGGAAAAAAAAAGUAAGGAAACUCCUUGAGCCCCAGAUCUAGAGCUAGCACUAGGAUUGGGCCACAUGUAGCCCCCUCCAAGCCCCCAAGCACCCUCCAUACCUCCGCUCAGCUCUUCGUCACGUGAGAUCUCUGCUCUCCCCAGGUACCUCACCCAUCCUUAGUCCCUGGUGCAUGGCGGGUGCUGGACAACUCUGUACCAGGUCACCUGUUCUGAUGCCCCCGAAACACCAUCACCAAGAAUCCCAGAGGCAUCAGAGUCCCCAGAGUCCAAUGUCGUCCUUUAUGCCAAUCUGUCCUCAUGGAAGCCCUGAGACAAACAGAAGCUGGCACGGAAAGCCAUCCUAAAGUCCACCGUGGCAAGCUCCCCACCACCACCACCACCGCCGCCGCCGCCGCCCGGGAAAGGACUCUCUUCAGAUGUUCAGGGUCCCCUUGUACUGUGUGUGCACACCAGAAGGGACAGUCCCCCACAUGCUGAAACGACACAGAUUCUCAACUCUGCCCCUGAUCCCUAUGAGCUUCCUAAGUCACCUAACCACCACCACCACCCCUUACUGGGAAAAUGGAGUCCAUACCACCAUCCACUCAGCUCUUAGGAUUAGUAAAAAAAAAAAAUAAUAAUAAUGCGACAGUGGCCCCCACAUGGCCUGGCUCUUGCCUGUUUUAACUUACUCCAGACCACAUGCACAGACACACGUGCACUGGCUCUGUGCGCAUGUCUCACUGGUUUUUAAGUUUCUAGGGGGAAAUAAAUAAGCUGGGAACUGGAAGAGACUGGCUUAGGGGGUGACGUGCUUGCUACUCAAGAGUGAGAGCCUGAGUUUGGAUCCCCACAUGAAAUCUGGGAGUAAUGGCAUGUGUCUGUAACCCCAGCACUGAGGGAGAAGGGGGAUAUGGACAGGAGGAUCCCUGAAGCUUAACCAGCCAGCUUAACCAAAAUGAUGAGCUCCGUGUUCAGCAAGAGACCUUGUCCCCCAAAAUAAGGUGGAGAGCAAUAAAGGAAACCACCCCACAUUAACCUCUGACCUUCACACACACACACACACACACACACACACACACACACACACACACACUACAACAUCCGAGCCCAGACCCCAUGUACGUCAUCACCCUCUCGUCUCUGUUUUCUACCCAGGUUCCACUGGUUAAUGUCACCUCACAUGCAUGUUCACCCCCACAGUUACUUCUUUAUCCUAAGGUCUCACAAAGCUCUGUGCCCUCCCUCCCUCCCACCCGCUCCGUGCAUAAUUCUUACUCCUAUUUAUGAAAAUGUUCGUGAGCUGAAGAUACAUAUCUCAUAAGCCUAUUAUCUCCCCAGAGAGGGCCUGCUGCCUGGUACGUAACAGGCCCACAGCAUCAUGACUGACUGACUCGAAGCGUCAAUGAAGAAAAGAAUGCACGAAUACAUUUAGUCCAGUGGCUCGAACAGUGCAAACAUCCCUCAAAUUCCUCCU